ACUACCGAUUGAAUGGUUUAGUGAGGUCUCCUGACUGGCCCCGCUGCCGCGGCUCCGCCUCGGCGCCGGCCGCCGGAAAGUUGCUCAAACUUGAUCAUUUAGAGGAAGUAAAAGUCGUAACAAGGUUUCCGUAGGUGAACCUGCGGAAGGAUCAUUACCGAUCCCAAUCCUCCCAUAGCGUGCAUCCCGCACCUUGCCUUGUGAACCGUACCUCUACUCUUCACCUAGGGGUCGGCCCCCGUGCCGUUAAAUGGUCGCUCGUCGUCCGAGAGUCCCUCUUCUCUCCCUCGGCGCCCGGCCGGCCCCGACUUUGUUUUUUUGCCAAAGACUUUGUCCGACUGAACCUGACCCGUCCCUCCCUCCUUCCUUCUCUCCCUCCUUCCUUGUCCGGGAGGCAGGCAGGCUGGCAGACAGGGCAGGACGGAUCCAACGCAUAAACAAACAGAGACAACUUUUGACGGUGGAUCUCUUGGCUCGCGCAUCGAUGAAGAACGCAGCCAGCUGCGAUAAGUAGUGUGAAUUGCAGAAUUCAGUGAAUCAUCGAAUCUUUAACGCAAAUGGCGCUCUUGGGGUUCUCCCAGGAGCACAUCCGUCUGAGUGUCGGAUACACACCAAGGCGCGCCCCAUUCCAACGGGCGCGGACUUGACGGCUCACGGCGGCUUCUCGCCCGCCGUGUCCCUCCUUGGCGUGGUGAUGCGAUGCCCCGCCUCGAUGCUGAGGCUUUAAGUGCCUUUGGCCCUCGGCGCUCGGAACGGCUGGGCCGCCACCGCCCGCCACUGGGACACUCUCCCACACCGAGACCUCGAUGCAUCCCCGCAUGCAUCCCUCUUGACCUCAGAUCGGGCAAGGCCACCCGCUGAAUUUAAGCAUAUUAAUAAGCGGAGGAAAAGAAACUAACAAGGAUUCCCCCAGUAACGGCGAGUGAAGCGGGAAACGCUCAAAUUUGAAAUCUCCGGCGCCUGCGCCGGCGACUUGUAGUUGCGAGAAGCGCCUUCUAGGCGGACCGGCCGCGCCUAAGUUGCUUGGAACCGCACGUCGCAGAGGGUGACAACCCCGUCUGUGGCGCCGCCGGCCGUCCACGAUGCGCUUUCCAA
rnacentral:rRNA from 1 species